rnacentral:rRNA from 1 species
UACGUAGGGGGCAAGCGUUGUCCGGAUUUAUUGGGCGUAAAGAGCGUGUAGGCGGCUAGAUAGGUCCGUUGUGAAAACUCGAGGCUCAACCUCGAGACGUCGAUGGAAACCAUCUGGCUAGAGUCCGGAAGAGGAGAGUGGAAUUCCUGGUGUAGCGGUGAAAUGCGCAGAUAUCAGGAGGAACACCAAUAGCGAAGGCAGCUCGCUGGACGGUACUGACGCUGAGGUGCGAAAGCGUGGGAGCAAACAGG